CCUGCCCAUUGAAAAAUUAAAAGGCCGCGGUAUAUUAACUGUGCAAAGGUAGCAUAAUCAUUAGCUUUUUAAUUGAAAGCUUGUAUGAAGGGUUUGACAAAGAAAAUUCUGUCUUUAUAUUUAUUUUUGAAGUUAACUUUUAAGUGAAAAGGCUUAAGUGAUUUAAAGGGACGAUAAGACCCUAUAAAUCUUUAUACUAUGAAUUAAUUUUUUUAUUUAUUAAUGAAAGUUUAAAUUAAUAAGAAAAAUAGUGUGUAUUUUGUUGGGGUGAUAAGAAUAUAAAAUUAACUGUUCUUAGAUAAAACAAAGUUAUUUGUUUAGAUUUAAUAGAUCCUUUUUAAAGAUUAAAAGUUUAAGUUACUUUAGGGAUAACAGCGUUAUUUUUUUUGAGAGUUCUUAUCGAAAAAAAAGUUUGCGACCUCGAUGUUGAAUUAAGAAAUUCUCUACGGUGUAGAAGUUGUGGAAGGAAAGUCUGUUCGACUUUU
rnacentral:rRNA from 1 species